GACAAUUUAGGACUCAUCCCACACUUGUUGUCUAAUGGAUAACCGCAAAGAGAAGGAUUUCCCUCGUAGCUGCUUUUGUUGAAAGUUCCAAAUUGAGCUUUAAAAUCAGGUACUGCACCAGAUAAGUUGUUGUAUGCAACACUGAAUACUGCCAAAGAAUUCAGCUCAAUUAGACCAACAGGAAUGCUCCCAUUCAAUCUGUUGCAGGAAAGGUCUAAACUCUCAAUUUCCUGUAGAUUGGAGAAGGUAUUUGGUAUUCUUCCAAUGAGAUGAUUGUGAGACAGAUUCAAUGUAUGUAUAUUGCUCAUGUUCCCUAUCUCAAUGGGAAUUUCACCAGUUAAUCUGUUACUUGAGAGAUCAAUACCCGACAUAUAUU
rnacentral:misc_RNA from 1 species